rnacentral:lncRNA from 10 species
UGUAACCCCACAGUACUCAACCAGUGAGGAACUGGGGGAGGGACUUGUGUGCUAGGAGAUAAAUUACCUGUUGUGACCGCCCCGGUUGUGCCUGCCUACCAGACACCUGAUCUUGCAAGACCAUUAUUAAAAGUCUCCCUUUGGCUGUUCUUCAGGCCUCUAAGUCCAUUCUUUGGAUUUGGACAGGAGGCAGCAGAAGCAACACAGGGAGAAAAGCAGGCACUGCGGGAACCAGGCAAACUCAUGCACCAGCCAAGGAAGGAAAAUUGGACUGUAAGUACUGCCUUGGUUGUGGGGCAUUUUUGGAGGUCUCGGGGUGUGCAAGAAACCUCCAGUAAGGGGGGUUGAGUAGACAGGGAAAAACUCAGACGCAGAGACUGGCAGAAAAUGGGAAACAGGAAUUCUAGGCCUGGGAGCCAAAGGAAAGAGGGAGCCAAAGAGACUCCCUCUGACAUUCCCCUGGAUAGUCCUUUGGGGAGAUUGUUGCAGGUUUGGUGGAACAACCCUCGAACCAGGGACAAGGAAAAGGAAAAGAUGAUAAAGUAUUGCUGUUUUGUCUGGCCCAAAGACCCCAUUCAUAAGCCUUCUGUCUUUUGGCCUAAGUUUGGCUCAGAUGAGGAUUGUGUUCUAAGCUUUAAUUCUCUCUGUGAAUAAUAAAACUUCAUCCUCACAAGAAGAGAUAGGUUACUCUCUGCUGAAUCAAGGAAUUAGCCCCCAUGAUCCCCCUCAAAAAAGAAGAAAAAGAGCCUGGUGAAGAGCCCUCACCCAGUGAAAAGCCCUGGGACCCCCUAUCGUGCUUGCCCCUUCAUACGUCUCACAAAAAAGGGGACAGGAAGAUCAAGGGGCAGCAGGAGGGUUAGAGGAAGAAAGACCCAGAGACUACAGGGGAGCCAAGCCAACUGCUCCUU